AAUCAACUGUGUUUACUCUUUUCCAAUCAUAAUGACGACAGAAACUACCCAAAUGACACGGAUCAAAAGUUUACAUACCCUCGUGAUUGUGGCCUGAUAGCAUGCAUACAGGUUGACACAAAGGGUUGUGGAUGGCUAUUAAAGGUAACCUGAUCAC